rnacentral:rRNA from 1 species
UACGAAGGGGGCUAGCGUUGCUCGGAAUCACUGGGCGUAAAGGGUGCGUAGGCGGGUCUUUAAGUCAGGGGUGAAAUCCUGGAGCUCAACUCCAGAACUGCCUUUGAUACUGAAGGUCUUGAGUUCGGGAGAGGUGAGUGGAACUGCGAGUGUAGAGGUGAAAUUCGUAGAUAUUCGCAAGAACACCGGUGGCGAAGGCGGGUCUCUGGGCCGAUACUGACGCUGAGGAGCGAAAGCGUGGGGAGCGAACAGG